rnacentral:rRNA from 1 species
UAGGGAAUCUUCGGCAAUGGACGAAAGUCUGACCGAGCAACGCCGCGUGAGUGAAGAAGGUUUUCGGAUCGUAAAACUCUGUUGUUAGAGAAGAACAAGGACGUUAGUAACUGAACGUCCCCUGACGGUAUAUAACCAGAAAGCCACGGCUAACUACGUGCCAGCAGCCGCGGUAAUACGUAGGUGGCAAGCGUUGUCCGGAUUUAUUGGGCGUAAAGCGAGCGCAGGCGGUUUCUUAAGUCUGAUGUGAAAGCCCCCGGCUCAACCGGGGAGGGUCAUUGGAAACUGGGAGACUUGAGUGCAGAAGAGGAGAGUGGAAUUCCAUGUGUAGCGGUGAAAUGCGUAGAUAUAUGGAGGAACACCAGUGGCGAAGGCGGCUCUCUGGUCUGUAACUGACGCUGAGGCUCGAAAGCGUGGGGAGCAAACAGG